rnacentral:rRNA from 1 species
UACGUAUGGGGCAAGCGUUAUCCGGAUUUACUGGGUGUAAAGGGAGCGUAGGCGGCCUGGCAAGCCUGAUGCGAAAUACCGGGGCCCAACCCCGGGGCUGCAUUGGGAACUGCCAGGCUGGAGUGCCGGAGAGGCAGGCGGAAUUCCUAGUGUAGCGGUGAAAUGCGUAGAUAUUAGGAGGAACACCAGUGGCGAAGGCGGCCUGCUGGACGGUGACUGACGCUGAGGCUCGAAAGCGUGGGGAGCAAACAGG